rnacentral:sRNA from 1 species
CACAGCAACACCAACAACAGCCACCGCCACUAUCACCACCACUGCACCUGCUCCGUUCGCUAAAUACAUAUCAAGGGAUGACAUAGCAAGAAACCCCUCAACAGCUGCUGUUCCCACUCCUUUUCAUCUUGCAACAAUGGCUGGGAAAACUAUUUCUAAUAAGGCAGGAUUGUACUCUAUCUCUGUCAACGUGUGUUAAAUGCUUACAAUACAAUUUCAAAUUAUAGAAACUCUUACAUGGUUUGGUGUUUUGCUAUCUAAUUAAUCCAUUUCUCAACCACGUUCCUUCACUAUUGUAUAUUCUACCCACAGUGGCUUCCUGGCAUUCCUAGAACAUAGCCACCAUCUUUCAUUCUGCCUGGAAUAUUCUCCCAGUUAUCUACAAGGGUUCUUUCAGCUCACUAAUUAGGAAGGAUUUCCAUUUCUACUCUGUUCUGAAACCUGAAAAAAAGAAAAGAAAAAAAAAGAAAAGUUGAGAAUACACUGGCUUCUCAUACUCAGAAACCCCUUAGAAUCAAGGAAGACAUUUGGACUGCUUUCUGUACGUCAAGAAAGACAUCAGAGUUUUGAGUCAUUUGUCUAGUAUGAAAAAGUUCUUCUUGUCUUUGAAGAGGUUUUAGCCAUGGACUCAGGAGCAACAAUUCUAAUGGUCAUAUAUUCAGAAUCUAUGUGCAAAGAUCUCUCCUGAGAGACACAACCAGAGCACGUCAACAAAAGCAGCGAACUAGAGGCGAACGCUAGCAGCAAACCACUGAACUGAGAAUGGGACCCCCGUUGGAGGAAUUAGAGAAAGGAUUGA